GGUAAAAUGGCUGAAGUUAGGUGAUAGAUUGUAAAUCUAUUAAAGAGAUAAAUAUCUUUUUUACCA
rnacentral:tRNA from 1 species